GAAAGGCCCCUUCGGGGGUACUCGAGUGGCGAACGGGUGAGUAACACGUGGGCAAUCUGCCCUGCACUUCGGGAUAAGCCUGGGAAACUGGGUCUAAUACCGGAUAGGACCUUUAGGCGCAUGUCUUUAGGUGGAAAGCUUUUGCGGUGUGGGAUGGGCCCGCGGCCUAUCAGCUUGUUGGUGGGGUGAUGGCCUACCAAGGCGACGACGGGUAGCCGGCCUGAGAGGGUGUCCGGCCACACUGGGACUGAGAUACGGCCCAGACUCCUACGGGAGGCAGCAGUGGGGAAUAUUGCACAAUGGGCGCAAGCCUGAUGCAGCGACGCCGCGUGGGGGAUGACGGCCUUCGGGUUGUAAACCUCUUUCACCAUCGACGAAGGUUCGGGUUUUCUCGGAUUGACGGUAGGUGGAGAAGAAGCACCGGCCAACUACGUGCCAGCAGCCGCGGUAAUACGUAGGGUGCGAGCGUUGUCCGGAAUUACUGGGCGUAAAGAGCUCGUAGGUGGUUUG
rnacentral:rRNA from 2 species